UGAUCCGGUCGAGGAUCCUUACAAUAUAUAACAAACGGAGAGAAUAUAUAAUAGUGCAAGGAUUUGGCUGUCAGCGGUGGGACUUCUUGGUAGCCCGUUAUCUAUACAGGCGGUGGGACAGGAGCAGCCUCAUGUACCGGUAAAGGAUGUCGCGCUGAUUACUCGGAGAGAAUGAGAGACGCGUGAUUAGAAGGGCCCGGAGUGUCUCUAAUACUUGAACUCACACAACAUCCAGCAGUCCCAGUAAAUGAAUUUUACUCUCUAACGCAAGUUUUUGAAGCAACAUAUGUUUAACCACCCACACAUCAGGCCCUGUCAACGAGUGUCUAUAGGCCUACUUGGAAUAUUUAUAGCGCUGUCCACCCAAUGACUACCAGUCGGAAAAAUCGGGACGGUCAGGUGUCGUUACUUUUCAAUUUCAUUCAAUUUUCAUACUAUGUCAAUUAUUGUAAAGAAAAGAAUAUAUUUUUAUUUAUGCUUUUACAAAAACAUUAUGUAUUUAUUCGCGUCUCACAGAUUACUUUAACAUGUAUAAUGAAAAUAAAAACUGUUGAAAAUAAAGAUCAUUAUGACAUGUGUUAUAUAUUUGUAGGAAUUUAGGACACAUUCGUGCUGUGUUUUUCUGAUGAAUUGAGAUGAAUUCAGUAUGAACCGUAAGAUUUGGGGUAGGCGUACGGCGUUUGGUGAUAUCCUUUGUCAUAAUUAUUUCCGCCAUUAUAAUUGUUAUAAGACUUGCCAUAAG